rnacentral:rRNA from 1 species
AUUGAACGCUGGCGGCAGGCCUAACACAUGCAAGUCGAGCGGUAGCACAGGGAGCUUGCUCCUGGGUGACGAGCGGCGGACGGGUGAGUAAUGUCUGGGAAACUGCCUGAUGGAGGGGGAUAACUACUGGAAACGGUAGCUAAUACCGCAUAACGUCUUCGGACCAAAGAGGGGGACCUUCGGGCCUCUUGCCAUCAGAUGUGCCCAGAUGGGAUUAGCUAGUAGGUGAGGUAAUGGCUCACCUAGGCGACGAUCCCUAGCUGGUCUGAGAGGAUGACCAGCCACACUGGAACUGAGACACGGUCCAGACUCCUACGGGAGGCAGCAGUGGGGAAUAUUGCACAAUGGGCGCAAGCCUGAUGCAGCCAUGCCGCGUGUAUGAAGAAGGCCUUCGGGUUGUAAAGUACUUUCAGCGAGGAGGAAGGCAUUGUGGUUAAUAACCGCAGUGAUUGACGUUACUCGCAGAAGAAGCACCGGCUAACUCCGUGCCAGCAGCCGCGGUAAUACGGAGGGUGCAAGCGUUAAUCGGAAUUACUGGGCGUAAAGCGCACGCAGGCGGUCUGUCAAGUCGGAUGUGAAAUCCCCGGGCUCAACCUGGGAACUGCAUUCGAAACUGGCAGGCUAGAGUCUUGUAGAGGGGGGUAGAAUUCCAGGUGUAGCGGUGAAAUGCGUAGAGAUCUGGAGGAAUACCGGUGGCGAAGGCGGCCCCCUGGACAAAGACUGACGCUCAGG